AAAAAAAAAAAAAACAUCAGUUGCUAGGAUACGAUGCAACUCAUACAUGUGGUUUAGAUCAAUAUUUUAUAGAGCCGUUUUCCGUUUUCAGAGACUGCUAGGGGGAGAAAUGAAGCCAUUCGAGAACAUUAGGUUAAACGCUAUAAAUUACAUCUAGAUAUCAGUAAUAAAUAGUCAUUUCAAGAAUAUUGUAUCGGUUUUUAGGUCCCCCAGCCUCCAAGAGCAAGGGUGCUGUUAUGGUAACGUUAGGUCCCAAACAAAAUCCAGUUCAGUUUGAGCAUAUUCAGACACGAAUAUCCAUAAACUCUUAUAAUCCAUAAAAGAUUGCUUUUCUAGGACAGAUCUGAAACACAGUGAUAUGGAAGAGAUUGAGAAGAGCAAUUCCAUACCAGAGAUCGAAAGGUACAGCUGGAUAUAUCCUUGUCAUAUAUUGGAAUACCUGAGAACACAGAUAUAGAGGAAACUUCCCAGUCUGUGUUGCAGAUGGUGAAAGGGAAACUGAGAGGGAGACAGAAAAGGAUGGAGAAGUUCAACAAAGUGCUGCACUAGAAAUGAAG